rnacentral:lncRNA from 1 species
GGACACAGACUUUAACUUAGAAGUCAGGAGAGGGUCAGCCCCCAGUCCCCAGUUUAGUGGCUGGCAGCAGGUCCAGCAGUGGUAUUUCCCAGAAAUGAGACUUCCUGGGAGCAGCUUCGAUGGGAGGGGCUGGACGCCCUCUGUCAGAGCAGGGAAAAGGAGGGACUAGAAGAAACUUCACUUGAGACACAGCUAAAAAGAAAAGUCUUCUGUUGGUGACAUGGGCACCCCUUCUCCACUCUGGCACAUACAGCUUUAGAGGUAGCUGUGAAACAGGAAAGACUACCGCAUAUAGCAGUGCAAUGUAUUCAUUGCACAAGGGUACCAGGUUGAGAGGAUUCAGGUUUGGCAGCAGAGCACCAUGACUUGGGUGGAAGCUUUCUUGUGCAACUGUCACAGGGGGUGAAGAUGCUAACAGUAGUAGAAGAUU